ensembl:misc_RNA Metazoa_SRP Metazoan signal recognition particle RNA
GCUGGGCAUGGUGGCACAUGCCUGAAGUCCCAGCUGCCUGGGAGGCGGAAGUGGGAGGAUCACUUGAGCCUGGGAGUUCAAGGCUGCAGUGAUCCGUGUUUGCACCACUGCACUCCAGCCUGGGCGACAGAGUGAGACCCUAUCUCUU